rnacentral:lncRNA from 1 species
UGAACUUAACAUGCCCGGAGGUGCAUCAUGAAGCUUGUCCAAAUCAGAAAUCUGCAUGCACUGUGUUUUUCAUUGUAAAUGUGUAGACUUCUAGAUUUUCUUUCUAGCACAUGUUGAAUAAGUCUUCUAGAAGGCUGGCACAUUUUGCACAUGGCAUCUUACGUGGCAUUAGAUCCACAAUUCACUGAUCUAAGCAUUUUCCUUGCCAAGGCCGACGGGUUCUCUUAUAAAACCCACAAGGCAGCUUCUGUAGGACACUUUUAGAACUUGAGAGAAUUGUUAAGCUGAUGAAAUGUUUCCAGCCUUUUCUCCUCUGAAAGUCAAUCUCCGUGCUUCUAAAUCCUUCCAUCUAACUUCCUUCUCGAUGAAGGCUUUCUGAGUUAGCUCCAUCCACCAAAAGCACAUCAAGCACCUCACAAUUCCAUUUUCAGUCACCACUGCUGCAUAACUUUGUGAUUCCCACCUUACACCUCUGCAG